rnacentral:rRNA from 1 species
AUGUAUCAUGUUGUCAUGGGUGAUGAUCCAGAGGUGAAGGUUGGCCAGCCAUCUUCUGAUGUUUUCAUUUCUGCCAUGAGGAUGUUUAUAGGUCGCAGCAGCAAGGGUGAGGUGGAGUGCGGGGAAUGCAGGCAUAGGCAAGAUGUUGCGCUGAGGUUACCAGCUACACAUGCAUCACUGCCUCCAGUCAAAUUUGGGCGACUGGCAUUUCGGAAAAAUAUUCAAAAGAUCAUGCUGGGGCAUGCGACGACACCUCACGCAUUGACACCAAGUAAAACCUAUAUCGGAUGCCAAGGAGCCUUUCUCACUUGCUCCUACGGAACCAAGGUUAAAGGGAUUGGAAAAACCAGUCAUUCACAACCACCGAUGAAGGAUUCGCUAAAAAGUUAA